CACAUAUAGUGGAAUAUAAAUGUGCCGAGAUAAGGAUCUUUUCUGAAUCUCGCAAUUUUGGUGUGUACCCUGCAACAGCGUGUUGGUUGUUAUGGCUGUUUUUACUUUGGUUUAGAAGGCAACCCAGCUAAGUGAUAGCAUCAGGAAAUUUAUCUCAACAUAUGGAGUAAUGCUGUUGGUUGCUGUGAAUUCCAUUUUAUAUGGUUUUGUCAUCAUGAACUUAUCAUUGUGCUUCUUAGAAAAGAGCACGCAGUUUCUUUGUGGAAUCGUGUGUUCCUGGCACAGAUAUUCUUGUGCCAACGCUGGCUUUUGUCCAUGACCAACGUUCUGCUCCAUCCUUAUCUUCCCGACGUAAGCUCAUCCAGCUUCUGCUUCAUCGCUUCGUACACAAAAUACAACUUGUCUUACUUCAAUGACAAGUUGGAACAUUUCAGUGGUCGCGUCCGUGCCGCUGUUACACAACUGCAGUCACUCACCAUGGGGUUAUGCCCAGGUACCCGACAAUUUACUUAUUUUCGUAGAUUAUCUAUUCUAAUAGUAUACUUACUUGUGUCUGUAAUAAUUUCGAAAUCAGGCCCUACUUGCGCGCAAACGU